rnacentral:lncRNA from 1 species
CUUACCAAGAACUCCUUAACUUGAGGGUGAACAACUUAAAGCUUGAUCCUACAGUUACCUGAAAAGUGAUUUGAGUAUUCAUUGAACUGAAAGAACAAAUCGCCUACUUCAGGCGGUGGCAAGCGUAUGGAAAUUAUAUUAGAACUUCAGCAAAGUGCACAGCUGCAUAAUAGAGAAGCCGGCACUCAGAUUGACAGGCAAAUAAGCCAGCUUGUGGAAGGGGCCUCUGGGUGGCAGCUCUGGGCUUUUGGGUGUUGGACAACCAUAGGCAAAACUGAAAUGGAACAGGGGCAGAAAAUAGCACACUUUUACUCUACGCAACUGUUGCUUUUUCAUGGAGCUCUUUCUGAGAUGAAGAGAAUUCUCAAUGUCAAGAUUUGAACAAGAAGAGAAUGGAAUACACAAUAUGGACAUCCAUAAAAAUUCAUCAGAGAGCAUUUUACUACUGAGCUGCAAAGGGAAAAACUUAAAAUGGAUAUGAAAAGUGAAGAAAGUGAUCAUAGGAGAAAACCAUUUCAGGUAAAAAUAAAAAACAAAGAGCAAAUAAGAUUUACUGUUUUUAAAGAAAAACAACAUUCUUUUGACUGUGUUUUGUUAUAAGAAUUAAUUUCAUAUUCUUUAUGAGUGUAACUGUUGAAAUUUUAUUGAUGGUUUUCAUUUGAAAAUGUGUGCUAUGACCUACCUUUGUGAAAAAUUUCUUGUGGUCAAUUGGGCAGUUUGUGUCCCAUUGAAUAUAUGUCUGUGUAUCCAUACGCUUAAGAUAGGUGCAAUACGGUUUACUAGAAAGCUUUAUAGGAAAAGAAAAAAA